UAGGGAAUCUUCGGCAAUGGACGAAAGUCUGACCGAGCAACGCCGCGUGAGUGAAGAAGGUUUUCGGAUCGUAAAAACUCUGUUGGUAGAGAAGAACGUUGGUGAGAGUGGAAAGCUCAUCAAGUGACGGUAACUACCCAGAAAGGGACGGCUAACUACGUGCCAGCAGCCGCGGCAAUACGUAGGUCCCGAGCGUUGUCCGGAUUUAUUGGGCGUAAAGCGAGCGCAGGUGGUUUAUUAAGUCUGGUGUAAAAGGCAGUGGCUCAACCAUUGUAUGCAUUGGAAACUGGUAGACUUGAGUGCAGGAGAGGAGAGUGGAAUUCCAUGUGUAGCGGUGAAAUGCGUAGAUAUAUGGAGGAACACCGGUGGCGAAAGCGGCUCUCUGGCCUGUAACUGACACUGAGGCUCGAAAGCGUGGGGAGCAAACAGGAUUAGAUACCCUGGUAGUCCACGCCGUAAACGAUGAGUGCUAGAUGUAGGGAGCUAUAAGUUCUCUGUAUCGCAGCUAACGCAAUAAGCACUCCGCCUGGGGAGUACGACCGCAAGGUUGAAACUCUAAAGUGAA
rnacentral:rRNA from 1 species